ACAGUACAAAGUGCUCGCUGACAUUGUGUCUGUAGCCAAAAUGAAAAUGAUGGCUACCUGAUGAUUGAGGUGUAUGAUCCAUCCAGGUGUUUACCAGGCUACCAAUCUCAAUGCCUGUUCUGGAUGGAUUUUUAAUUAAACCAACAUCCCCCGCUUCUGAACAAAUGCGCUUCAUCAAUGGUUUUGUUUUGAAGGAGGAAGUUACUUUAGAACAAAAGCAUAUAGUGCUGGACUCGUUUGGGACCAACUAGAGUAUUUGGCGAG